CGUUGUACACACCGCCCGUCACACCAUGGGAGCGGGUUCUGCCAGAAGUAGUUAGCCUAACCGCAAGGAGGGCGAUUACCACGGCAGGGUUCGUGACUGGGGUG
rnacentral:rRNA from 1 species